UAUAUAUAGGCUAUGUUUAGUUCACCCUGAAAACCAAAAAGUUUUCAAGAUUUCCUGUCACAUCGAAUCUUGUGGCACAUGCAUGAAACAUUAAAUAUGGACGAAAACAAAAACUAAUUACACAGUUUAGCUGUAAAUCACGAGACGAAUCUUUUGAUCCUAGUUAGUCCAUGAUUGGAUAAUAUUUGUCACAAACAAACGAAAGUGCUACAGUACCGAAAACUUUUCACUCUUCGGAACUAAACAAGGCCAUAGUCUGCAUAUGGCUUCACUGUGACAGCAACAUCGAACUACUCCUGACUCCCGUCCUGAUUGGACCGAUUGGAUCUCGUGUCGUGUGAAGCCUUGCCCAGCAGCAUCUGCAAUACUACUGCUUCCGUGAACGAUUGUUUUUUGGACCAAAUAAUAAUUGUAGCGUGACGGCGGACCCCCACACGGCGGCACCGGCACGGUAAAAAGAUUCCCUUUGUGCUUCGUCGAUGGACCAUGCAUGCAUGGUUUCGGCGUACGUACGUACUGUACGUUUGAUGGCUUUAAAUUUUAAUUCGGUAUGGUUUAGAUGCAUCUAAAAAUCCAAAACUUUACAAGAUUUCAUAUCACAUCAUAUCUUACAACACAUUAAAUAUAGAUAAAAAAAGGUAACUAAUUACACAGUUUACUUGUAAAUCACGAUAUAAAUCUUUUAAGCCUAGUUACUUCAUAAUUAGAAAAUAUUUGUUAAAUAAAAAUAAAAGUGCUACAGUGUCAAAAUUAAAAAAAAAAAUCUAAACAAGGCCUGCUUGAGCUUGCGCAAGCCACGUUUCCUACGGUCCACGCACGCCUCCUGUUGAUGAUGAUUUGUGCCUGUGUAGGCAGAGGCAGAGGCCGGGCCGCCGGAGCACGUUCCGUGUCUGCGGCUCUGCGCGCAGGCACGCCCGCCCG
rnacentral:lncRNA from 1 species